UACGAAUGUGGCGAGCGUUGUUCGGAAUCACUGGGCGUAAAGAGUACGUAGGCGGUUUGACAAGUCAGGAGUGAAAUCCCCAGGCUCAACCUGGGAACUGCUCUUGAAACUGUCAGACUAGAAGCUCGGAGAGGUUGGCGGAAUUCUCAGUGUAGAGGUGAAAUGCGCAGAUAUUGAGAGGAACACCAGUGGCGUAAGCGGCCAACUGGGCGAGUAUUGACGCUGAGGUACGAAAGCGUGGGGAUCAAACAGG
rnacentral:rRNA from 1 species